rnacentral:rRNA from 1 species
CCUACGGGUGGCAGCAGUAGGGAAUCUUCCACAAUGGGCGAAAGCCUGAUGGAGCAACGCCGCGUGGGUGAAGAAGGUCUUCGGAUCGUAAAACCCUGUUGUCAGAGAAGAAAGUGCGUGAGAGUAACUGUUCACGUUUCGACGGUAUCUAACCAGAAAGCCACGGCUAACUACGUGCCAGCAGCCGCGGUAAUACGGAGGUGGCAAGCGUUAUGCGGAAUUAUUGGGCGUAAAGGGAACGCAGGCGGUCUUUUAAGUCUGAUGUGAAAGCCUUCGGCUUAACCGGGGUAGUGCAUUGGAAACUGGGAGGCUUGAGUGCAGAAGAGGGGAGUAGAACUCCAGGUGUAGCGGUGAAAUGCGUAGAGAUAUGGAGGAAUACCAGUGGCGAAAGCGGCUCUCUGGUCGGUAACUGACGCUGAGGUGCGAAAGCGUGGGUAGCAAACAGGAUUAGAUACCCUUGUAGUC